GGAAGCCUCUUUCGAAAAAUCUUUCCUCCCAUGUCAUGCAGCGUGGGCCGUAAUGGAGCGGUGUUGUGGAAAAAUCACCAGCCAUCUGUGGCUCUGGUCUACUCUGUCGUUUUUGACACUAUGUUUUGCACCUGUGAUGUUACACCCGCAAUGUUUGGAUUUUAAACCGCCCUUCCGACCGCAGAGAGAGCUGGAAUUUUGUAUAAUGUACAAGGAAUUUGGCUGCUGUGAUUAUCAGAAAGACCAGGAGCUGAUGUCUAAAUACUACCAGAUUAUGGAUAAUUUUGACUACAGUGGAUAUGCCAGCUGUGCCGGGUUCAUCUUCGACUUGCUCUGCCAGGAGUGUUCUCCCUAUGCGGCUCACCUCUUUGAUGCUGAGGAUCCAAGCACCCCGCUCAGGACCAUCCCAGGCCUCUGUUCUGAAUACUGCUUUCAGUUUUGGAAUAAGUGUUCUUUCACCAUUCCUUUCUUGUCUGGUGACCCACAUAUAGCAAACGUCAGAGAAAAUCAGACCAGUCUCUGCCAUUACCUGGAGUUACAAGACAAGGACUACUGUUAUCCAUAUCUGCUUAACAACCAGCGACUCACUCAGAACCUGGGUGGCAUUCAGGUGAACUCAAAUGGCUGUCUGCAGCUGUGCCUGGAAGAAGUGGCCAAUGGUCUCCAGAAUCCAUUAGCUAUGGUGCAUGCCAAUGAUGGCACACAUAGAUUCUUUGUGGCAGAACAAGUCGGCCUGGUGUGGACCUAUCUUCCAGAUAGGUCCAAGCUGGAGAGACCAUUUCUGAACAUUACCCAGGUUGUGCUAACGUCAUCAUGGGAAGGUGAUGAGAGAGGCUUUCUUGGACUCGCCUUUCACCCCAAAUACAAGUACAACGGGAAGCUGUAUGUGUAUUACUCAGUGGAGGUGGGUUUUGAUGAGAGAAUCAGAAUCAGUGAGUUCCAUGUAUCAGCCAAUGACAUGAAUGAGGUGGACCACAGCUCUGAGCGAGUUAUUCUGGAGAUUGAUGAACCAGCAUCCAACCAUAAUGGUGGGCAGCUGCUAUUUGCAGAUGAUGGGUACUUGUAUAUUUUCACAGGUGAUGGUGGAAUGGCAGGAGACCCAUUUGGGAAAUAUGGGAAUGCUCAGAACAAGUCAGCUCUCUUGGGUAAAGUACUUCGAAUUGAUGUGGAUGACAACCAGAGAGGUCCAUUGUACAGAAUUCCUCCAGAUAACCCGUUUAUACAUGAGCAGGGAGCACGUCCGGAGGUUUAUGCUUACGGUGUUCGCAAUAUGUGGAGGUGUUCGGUGGACCGGGGUGAUCCAUGGACCAAAGAUGGCAAAGGGCGUAUCUUCUGUGGGGAUGUAGGCCAGAACAAGUUCGAGGAAAUCGAUAUAAUCGAGAAAGGUCGAAAUUAUGGCUGGAGAGCUAAAGAAGGCUUCUCUUGCUACGAUAAGAAACUCUGUGCCAACAGUUCAUUAGAUGAUGUCCUGCCUGUUUAUGCAUAUCCUCAUAAGAUGGGCAAGUCAGUCACUGGUGGUUAUGUGUAUCGAGGUUGUGAAUACCCCAACCUGAAUGGCAUUUAUAUAUUUGGAGACUUCAUGAGUGGGCGUUUGAUGAGCCUGCAGGAGGACAAAAAAACAGGAAACUGGAAAUACAAUGAGAUAUGUAUGGGGGUGGGGCUAACCUGUGCCUUUCCUGGACUUAUCAACAACUAUCACCAAUACAUCAUCUCCUUUGCUGAGGAUGAAUCUGGUGAGCUAUACUUCAUGUCCACUGCAAUACCAAGUGCUACAUCACCUUCAGGAGUCGUUUAUAAAGUGAUCGAUCCCUCAAGAUGUGGAGAGAGACAGAAACUCUGCUCUUGGCAGAGCUGAAUAUGUGCUCUUUGCACACAUACCAUAAUCAGGUCUGCACAAGAUCUGAAGAAGAGUCCAGCUUCUCCACCCUAACAUUAACUAACGGUAACAUUAGUUAGUGACUGAGCAGCCCUGGGACUUUUCUGUUUCUCAUAUAAACCGUUUCAGUGCCUCAUCUUCAGCUGCAGGUCUCAACAUCUGUCAGUUCAGUUGUAAGAGGGGGAAAGAGUUGAGAUCUCUUUUACAAAUGUGGGGUUGUGAAGUAUAGGAAUUCUCUUCUUAACUGUGUUUUGAACAAAGAACAUUUUUGUUGUCUAAUCAGAAUCUUUGAAAAAGAUUAGAGGCUAACAUGAGAAUAUUAAAUUGAAAGAUUUGAUGGAGAUGUGUGAUUCCUUUCUGCUCCCAUUGCUAAUGUGAAGAGUUGUUAAUCUGAAAGUGUGGAUUGUGCCAAACUAGAGAGAGACUACAGGGAGACUACAUUUGUAAUCUGUCAGAGUGGAAGAGAUCAACAGGUUUGUGAAACAGUUGUGGCAUUUAAUAGAAACAGUAAUAAAGACGAGGUCUGGAAGUUUGGUGUGAUUGCAAUGUAUUUGUUCCAAUUCUCUUCAUGAGUUGUGGGCUUCAUAAUAUAUUGUAAUAUGAUUAGCUAGAUAGUAAAAAAUUAGGUGCCUCAAGACCCCCAUUACAUUUUUCUGGUGAGUGGAGAGAAUUUGGCUUUUUUGUUUUUCCAGUUGAACCUUAUGAUGUUGAAGUCUAACAAAUGAAUCAAUUUAGGUGUAAGUUUGAAUGGAAUCACUGAGAAAAAUUUAUUAAUUUGGGAGAGUAAUUCAGGUUAUUAAUGUCAGGUUCUUAAUUAAUAACGAAGUCAGUAAAUAGAUGGAAGAGUAGUUUUUAGUAAUUGUUGCUGUGUUCAUAUGGGGAGGAAAUUUCACGACUCCCUUAAAGCUGACCCCUCUUAAACCGCAACAGUCAAUGCAAUGCCGGUCUCCACAGAUGACAAUGAUUCCUUGGUAUGGUCAAUUUCCAAAAGGACAAUAAAUGUUAAAGGACAGCAAAGAGAAGCAAUAAAAGGAACCUAACUCCUCUAUCACCGUGUCUGUUCUAUUAUAUGGAUCUUGACUGUUAAAAACAGACUGUCAAUGGUUAAAUAAAAAUAAACAGAGAAUCUAUCAACAAACGGUUAUUUUUCAUUGUGUUUUAGACGUGCUCCACCAAGACAGUGCCACUACGACCCUCUUCCAGUGAGAGUAAAAAGUAAUCUCAUCAAGUUUGUUCCUCAAGAAACUCUGGUUGGCAUUGACCUGGCGAAUGAAAACUUUGACCAACAAUCCACUGAAUCCUAUCAGUG